rnacentral:piRNA from 1 species
UCUCCCCCUAUAUAACCAUUU